rnacentral:lncRNA from 1 species
AGUCCCGGUUUCAGCACCUCCGGCGCUGGACAGCUCUCUGCACGCCGCACCGCCGCCUGCUUGCUUUUUCCCACUCUCGCUUUGCAUUACUGGAGAUGCAUCUAAAUUACAUCCUGUUCAACAACAAGUAGAUUUUUUUUUCCUGUACAGGAAUUACAGUAGACGACUCUCUCAAUUAAACUGCAUUUUCUUCUUUACGGAUUUGGCUAUCAGGCGUAUUUAUCCCGAUUUCCUCCCCCCUCACUCCCCUUUGCAGGAACGAGUCUUUGGGAACGUGGUCCACCCAGGGAUGUAAAACUGUGCUUACCGAUGCAUCCCAUACGAAAUGCUUAUGUGAUCGUCUCUCUACCUUCGCCAUUUUGGCUCAGCAACCUAGAGAAAUAAUCAUGGAAUCCUCUGGCACACCUUCAGUUACCCUAAUAGUAGGCAGUGGUCUUUCUUGCUUGGCCUUGAUUACCCUAGCAGUUGUCUAUGCAGCAUUAUGGAGGUACAUACGCUCUGAGAGAUCCAUAAUACUAAUUAACUUCUGCCUGUCUAUCAUCUCAUCCAAUAUCCUCAUACUGGUUGGACAGACUCAGACACAUAAUAAG